UUCCACUGUCGGCCAUCCAGCGAUGCUGGAGGGCUACCUGGCCAAUGCUGGCCUACACAAAGAGGUCCCGGCUCGGAGGAGCUGAAGAAGAUCCUUGCCUUCCUCGUCAGUUUCCUCUUCAGUUCCUAUCCCAACAAAACCUUCUUGCACCUAUUAGCUCCAAAGAGGCUAUGGUGCCCGUGGAGGUCUGGACCUGAGGCCUGUGCUCAUCACGUGGAUAGAAAACACUCUGACACCAUUCUGGAGGUCUGAUGGGACUCUGACCAAAACACAGAUGAAAUAAAACUUGUGGCUGGAGCUUUUAAAAUUACUUUUUCACCUCAUAGAUUAAUGCUCAUGAUUGCAUGUUAGCAAGACAGCAUCUCCCCAAGGUGAAACUCUCAGGAGACAUUUACUCUUAAACUGUAAUCUGGUUGAGACUACUUGAGGAGAUCUUAGUAGCGAGUAUGUGGAUUUAGUCUCUUCACCAACAGCAGACAGACCCAUGCCAAGAAAGCAGACAUGUUCUCAAAGAAAGCCGAGAGCAGAGAUUGGAAAAAGCUAAAAAGAAAAAGCUGCAGCUUCAGACGACUAUCUGCCUAUGUUGACUGUGACCUCAGAGGCCAACUGGACCACACAGCUGCAGCAGGAGUGAGGGAGAGGAGUCUUCAUCCAGCUUCAAAGAAAACAUCCAGUUAGAAACCCUGCAGCAACCCGACCCAAAACUGUGUCUUCUUGUUGGCCUCAACGUUGAAGUGUCAAACGUCCAACAUCUGGAAAGGAAACCACGCCAGUGUACUGUGAUGUUUCACCAACAUGUGGCAGACGCUGGUCCUGCCUUUCAUGCUGACAUCAGCAGAGAGCCCCGCCUACCUCAAAGCCUCCCCUGUCAUGUAUUGAUCAGGAUGAUUAUGAAGAUGAGCGAGUGCAAAUAAGACUGUAAAAGUCCACGAGCAGAAUGUUUGGAUGCUUUCUGAUGAUUCAUGAAUAUCAUGAGAGUGUUUGUGUGUUUUGUCUUUUCUUU